GAUGAAGAACGUAGUGAAAUGCGAUAACUAAUGUGAAUUGCAGAAUUCAGUGAAUCAUCGAAUCUUUGAACGCACAUUGCGCCCGCCAGUAUUCUGGCGGGCAUGCCUGUUCGAGCGUCAUUUCAACCCUCAGGCCCCCAGUGCCUGGUGUUGGGGAUCGGCCCAGCCUUCUCGCAAGGCCGCCGGCCCCGAAAUCUAGUGGCGGUCUCGCUGUAGUCCUCCUCUGCGUAGUAGCACAACCUCGCAGUUGGAACGCGGCGGUGGCCAUGCCGUUAAACACCCCACUUCUGAAAGUUGACCUCGGAUCAGGUAGGAAUACCCGCUGAACUUAAGCAUAUCAAUAAGCGGAGGA
rnacentral:misc_RNA from 1 species